GUGUCAUAUCAGGGCCUCAACAGAUUAUAUUCUGAAAUCAUUAUGCGUCAUUUACACACAGUGUACCGGAAGUCAGUACUUAUACAUCAACUUUGUAAUUUUACAGCAACCUCAGUGGGGAGAACAAAGCAAAAUGGAGUAAGUAAGGAAUGAACUGCCAAGCUCAACGUAUGAGCCAAAGUGGACGACAGGUGCUCAGAAUAAUGUAAAGUUGCCAACUGAGCAAACUUCACCUGCUGAUGAAGACCAUGUGAUGUGGUCAGAAGUUUUGGAACAAGUGAGACUCCCUGCUCCUCCUCCAUCUGUGCUGCGGCUGCUGUCUUCGUCUUUGCAGGCAGGGGACGGUCACUGUAUCUUAGUGUUUCCUGGAAUAACACCACCUAAAGUGUGUUAAAAGAGAAAGAGUAGAACAGGAAGUAAUAUUUCAACAAGUAAUUUUCAUUAGUACUGAUUCUUUCUUGAAACAAUAUUCACUUUCCUUCAAGAGGAUAACCUCACCUUUUUCCGGUUUAAAGAAAUGUUUUACUGGUACAUUAACUGAAAAGCAAAACCCACAAUUUGUGGCAAUACUAUGAUGUUAGCAUCUUGAGACAGAAUAUGAGGCUGAGCGAUUUAAGAUGGACAUUCUUUGUAGUGAGAGAAACACACUUGGAUGCGGAACAUAAAGGUGGUCAUUCUGAGCAGCUCGCUGACACUGAGUAACUGACAUAAUCAAAGACACUCGGUCAACAAGACCCACACAGGCAAGCUACCCUAACACAGUCACAGCGAUCCAGUAAUAAUAGCAUGUACAGCACAGCUCCAAGCACUAACCCAUCAAAAAAAAUACAUAGAUGUAAUAGUCACCAAUUAGUUUGCGACACAAGGUGUUACACACAGAAACACAGCAUAGAAACACAUCAAGCUACAGACUCAAAUA